ACCAUCUUUCCGUAGCACUGUAAUGAUGUGUGCAAUAUCACAAACACUGAAUUGUUCUGACUUUUAAAGCCAGUCUAAGUGGUACUUUCCUCUCUUAACAGACCUAUUGAUAUCAGUGGGAUUACUACCCUACAGCAAGGCAGUAUGCACGAGCACUAUCUGACAUACUGUAAUUCAAAUAAAAACUGUAAAAAGAUUCUUCCACCACAGGAGUAUCUUAGUGCUCCACAGUGAUGUGAAGGGAAUUAUGGAAAACAUUUUUUGGAGAUGUGCAGCCUGAUUCUGAAUGGUGCUACUCUUCCAACUACUUUUGAGUUCAGAGCAUGUUGGAUGUGCCACAGAUUCAUUGCACUGAACAAAUCUGAAAUUUUGGAAGAAUUCUGA
rnacentral:lncRNA from 1 species